AUGCUUCUACUUUCUGUAUGGAGCUGGGAGCGUCUGCUUGUUGGACGCCCGAAGAGCGUCAGGUUUAAUCCUUGGUAUGAAGAUGAAGAUGAUGAAUUACGGCGCCCCACUUGGGCUUACAAGUGGGAUGUGGUUUCCGAGAUGACGAACGAUAUCAAUCUCAUGUACCAGAAGUACGUUGCCGAGUUGGACACGAUUUUUUUUGAAGGUUGGACAGUAGGAGCACGUCCUACUGCAUGUAUAUAUUAA
rnacentral:rRNA from 1 species